rnacentral:tRNA from 1 species
GGGGAUGUAGCUCAGAAAAGAUCAGAGCGCUGUUUCUGCAAGACAGAGGCAGGGGUGCGAAGCCCCUCAUCUCCAC